UAGCGGCCAGCUGCCAUGCUCGCGGUCGCUCUCAUGGCUGUGCCCGCCAUAGAGACCAGUCGAGGGCACGGGCAAGAGAAACAAGAUCAGGGUACGAGGCGGAGCUUCAUGCUUAGCACUGCUGGCCGACGGGGACGACCAAGGCAACACAACGGUGCCGCUCAUCAAUGGCUGCGUCCGGCGGGAUGGGCACGGCUGAGAGGAGCUCUUCGCCACGCCGGAUCUGUCCGUCCAUGUGUAGGCGCCGCCGUCCUGAUCCCCUUGCUAGAACUUUCAGGUGAAGAAGAGGAGGACCCUGCAUGGGGCGUGCUCCUUUAGGGCUAUUGCUGCUGGAGAUAUAUGUGCUAUAUGCCAAGAGAAGAUGAAUGGCCCCAUUCUUUUGCGCUGUAAACAUGUCUUCUGCAAAGAUUGUGUCUCUAAAUG